AGGGACCAAAUUAUCAUUCACAUACCUGCUAAAACAUAUAAACAGUACAGAAUGCUUUCUUUUUAUUUAUUUCACAAAAUUUCCAUUUCUUUAGCACACUCGCAAUUAUUACAACUUGGGUUCUUAUUUUGUAACUAAUAUAUUAGGUAAGUUACAACCCACUGGAGAAUCCAAGUAAAAUGAAGCUUAUUACAACAAUACAUAAAUAAGCAUUUGAUAUUCACUUAAAAGAUAUAAUGAUAGGUAAUGUCUAAUUUAAAUUUUAAUUAUUAUAUUUUUUUGAAUUCAAAUUUAGAUGGUCUUCUAAAUAAAAUUACUUUGAAACUACUCGGUACUUUGAAACUACUCGGUCUGGUGGCCCUAGGGCCAAGAAACAAAUUUUAAGGACAAACCUCAAUAAGAGAUCUUAAACCUAAAAUGGAGGUAAUUUUAUAGUCACUAAACCCAGCAUCGGCAAAAAGCUUGGCCCAUUCUUUCUCAUCUCGUUCUGUUCCGGUGGCCAAGACCAUCAUCAACAUAUCAAAAAAGAGUUGUGUUUCAGUAGACUCAUCAUUCCCUUUUUUAUUCUCUCUCAUCAUGUCAAUUAUAAUCACCUUUCCUUUCUUGCCAUCGCUCGUAAUUGCUUCCUUACAUUUCUUAAGAAUCUUCACGCAUUCCUCAUCAUUCCAGUCAUGCAAUAUCCACUGCUUGUCAUCAUCAAUAAUAUUAGAAUUUAGAAUAUUUGAAGAUUCAGAAUGGAAAAUUAAAUGAGUAUAUGAUGUACAUAAGUAAUUCGAAAUCCUUCUAGUAUAUAUAUUAAUUUUAUGCUCAAGAAACCACUUUAGUUAAACUAUAAAAAUUAAUACGCGUACCUUGAGUACAACAGCAUCAGCUGGGGGAAUGGCCUCAAACAUGUCCCCUCCAACAUAUUUAAGAUUGGCCAAAUCGCUUUCGAGGCCAUUAACCACAUGCGGCAGAUCAAAAUCAGUGCAUUCCAAAUUUGGAAACGCUAUAGCUAUGGCCUUGGCCACAGUUCCCGUGCCCCCACCCACAUCCACUAACGAAUUCAAACCUUGGAACACAUCCUUACACUUAUGUAUCACCACUCUUGUUGCCAACCGCGCAUCACUUGCCAUGGCUUCAUUGAAGAAAUUGUUAAUCUUUGGCUCGUCCCCAGCAUACUCCCAAAAACUCUUCCCAUGUGCCGUAUCAAACGGCGCAGGAUCGUCGCUUUGAAACCAAGUGCUCAGUUUCAGCCACGGUGAUAGCAAAAUAGGAUCUAGCAUGGCUUGCAAGAAAGGUGUCACGCUUAAGGGGCUGUCUUUUAGGAGAAGUUUAGAAGCAUUUGUGAGAACAUAACCUUGUUCUUCGUCAUUGUUAUUUCGGCUGCUAUUUAGCGUUUGCUGUGCAAAGAAGCCUGAGUGGAUCAGAAUGCGCAUCAAGCGAUACACACAUCGGGUUUUUGAUGGGUUUAUUGUUAGGGCACUAACAAGCUUGUUGAGGGUCAUGGGUUUGCCAUGUUUGUUGAUAAUAUCUGGUAUGCUUAAUUCAACAGCGCAUUUAAGUGACAUGGAGUUUAUGAAAUUGAAAAUGUGAUUCCAAACAUGAGCUUGAGCUUCAAGUAGCUCAGUAUCGUGCUCUCCAUCGAUCAAAUUCAUCCUUAUUAGGCUAAGUAGGGUUAAUUGAUAUUUGAUGCAAAUCAAUGGAUUUGAGCUCUAUAUAUAAUAGCGAAAGAGUCAUAUAUACUAUUAGGACCCAUUUGAUAUUAAAGUGUUCUUGUUUUUAUUUAAGCUCUUGUAAAAAAAAAAUCUAUAAUUGUUAAAUAAAAGUUGAUGGUGUAGGAUAAAUAUGACUUCUAAAUAAUAAUUUUAACAAAAAUAAUAAAAAUAUACAGAUUUUUUAUCAUACAAGUGUGGAGAAAAUUAACUCAGUUUUCAAAAUACAACAACAAAUGUUUACAAUAUACUUUAAAGAUGCAGUUUCAAAUUAUAACCACCUGACUACAAUACCAAAUAGACCCUUAAUAUGCGUUCAUAAUAAUUUUCUGUCGUGCCAUCCAAAAGAAAAGGCGUUGGAGUGUUUUAAAAAACGUUUUUCUGAAUGCAUCUAAUUGCUAACUAAAUUAAUAACUUGCUAAGGGUUAAAUUCAAAGAAAAAGAUGGGGAUCAAAGAGGUUGUGACAAAAAUUAUUGUGAAAAAUUAAUUUUUUAUUGCCACGUGAUUCACGCCAUCGGCCGAAAAUUAUUGCAAGAUAUGGCUCAAAUAUACGUAUUCAGAUCUGCUAAAUCUUGUUAUCCAAAUAAUAAAAUUAAUUCAGAAGACCCACUUAGAAAAUUAAUUCUGUUAACAUCUCGCGUGCCUAAUCAUCGAAAAAAUAUGCAACUUGCAGUUUGGGGUAAGGCAUUAUUUAUUCCAUCCAAGACGUCUAAGGAAAAGAACAUAAUUGGAGAAAGAAAUAUCAUGUUGAUUAUAAAUGCUUUCGGAAUUAGGCUACAAAGAGAAUCACGUGAAGUGAAGUAAUAUUGAGUGUUUCCUUAAUUAAUAAUACAAACGGACACCAAAUCUGAAUUAUUGUGCUUUUUUUUGGGAUUGAAGUGCUGUAACUUUACAAUUGUUGUGAAAAUAAAUUAUAAUUAUGAAAUAUAAUUUAAUAGUAUGUAAUAAAUAUAAUUUUUAAAUAAUAAUUUUGAUAAAAUUAGUAAAUAUAUAAUAAAAUUUUCAUCAUACGUAUGUAAAAUUAAAUCAAUUUAGCUUUCAAAAUACGGCAGCUAAUAUUUAUCAAAUAUAUUAAUACUGUAGUUUUUAAGUUAUAACUGUCCAAUUUCAAUCUCAAAUAAGCCUUAAGUAUAACAUCUCUAAUUGUAAUCUUGCUGAUUCUGAGGUGAUCUUGAAUAAUGUGUUAGUUGUGUCCCAUGCUGUACAUGUAAACAACAAUCACUUGUACUUUCUAAAUAUAUCAGCCUGCAUGUUUUUCUCAAUUGCAGGAACCUUCUUGUUUCCUUAUUUGACUUUUAAGUCUGUAUCAUAGAAUUCUCCCCGGUAAUAAAAAAUAGUUAAUUGAUUUAAAAAAUAAAGCAUAUGUAUGAUGUCAAAUUAUCUUUAAUUAUAUUAAAUAUCAACAAUAUCCUCAUUGUAACCAUUACAUCUCAUGAUAAGUAACGCAAAAAAUGACACAUCGAUGAAGUUUUUAAGGGUGGGACACUGUAAUUUUUUUCCACGACCUUGUUAACAUAAAUAUUUCUUUAAUAUUGAUUUUGAUGAUAACAAACUUGAUUAAGAUUGUUUCAAAGCUCAAAUUAUUCUUUCAUAUAGUUUUCAUACUAUAAAGGCUUCAUAUUCAAUAAAAAGUAAUUUUAGGAUUUUCAUGUUAAUGAUUUAAAUUGAAAAAGGUUUGAGAACUUUGAAAUUAGCAAAUAUUGCUUGAAAUUCUGAAAAUGGACUUAUUUGACAAGUUUUAUAAAAUUUUGGGUCAUAAUAUAAUUUUAUAAAGUUUGGGGGCCAAAAUAUAAUUUUACAAAAAUAAGUUCACUGUAGCAGUCAUUGUAGAAAACGGUGAUCCUACAGCUUUAUAACAGCUCGCCGACAUCGAGCAAAAAUGAAGAUUAGCCUCUGGACACUAACGACGUUCUGACAUCUUGAAAACGGCGAUCCGACAAUUUGAAAUUCAGCCCAACAGUCAUAUUGACUAGUUAAAUGGCGAUCUGACAUCUAAUUAACGGUGAUCUGACAGUGAGCAGAAAGUCAAUAACGGCUAGUUUCCAGCUCUAACUAUAAAUAAACUCAAUCAAAUUCAAACAAAAAUUAUUCCAACAAUUAUCAUUGAGCAAAUUAUUGAGCGUACAACUUUCAUUGAGCCUAAAAUUCUUAUAUUCAUUUCAUUUACUCACACUUUGGAUUUUUAUUUGUAAUCAAACACAUUGUGUGAGAGAGAUUUAUUUUGUAAUAUUCUUUAAAAUCAAAUUGUGAGAUUGUAAGUGUUGGGAUACACUUGGGUUAAGAGAUUGAGGAUAAUUUCUUAUUGUAAAGGUUUAUUGACACCUUGAAAGUUAAUUGUAAGAGCGGUUGAAGUCUUGGAGGGUUGCUCAGUGGAAUCCUCAAGCCUGGUGAGCUUGGAGGCGUGGACGUAGGCACGGUUAGCCGAACCACGUAAAAUCACGUGUUUGAUUUCUCUUCUCUUCUCUUCUCUUACUCUUUUAUUAUCUUGCUUGAUUAAAUUUAUUAUUUUUGUUCUUAUUAAGGCAUUAGAUUUAAAUUGUCGUGUGCUUUGUUUUGCAUAAAUUUUGAUAACCCAAUUCACCCCCCUUCUUGGAUUGCUUAGAUAGUAUUUCAGACCUAUGCCCAAAUAAUUUAAAAACCAAUACUUUUUGAAAUUGUGUAACAUCAUCUUGUUGGCAAUAUAAAUUGAAAUCAAGUUCAUGGCCCAUGACCUUCAAGUACUGCAACAAAAAUGCUCCACAAUCACCACUAAAAAAAUUCAUAUAAAUCAAUUGUUAGAAAUCACCAUUCUUAUUGUUAAGUCGAAAAAACAAUACACACACACAAACACACACACACACACACACACACACACACACACACACACACACACAUACAUACAUACCCUGAUUUUUGAUGCGGACUGUUACAUACUUGCAUGAUUUGGCUCAUACAAUGGACUGCAAUUUAAUCAUGUUACCAACGCAAACGGCCAAUCCUAAACCACAUUUUCUUCUCAUCAGUCUUCACUUCUCUCAGUGGUAUGCUGUGGAGUAACUGAGCAGAAACUUCAACUCUUUCACAUCCAAAAAAUGACCGAAACAAGAAUGCCUAAAAAUACUUUUUUGCUCCUUAAAGAGUUUAUUUUUUAUAUCCUCCUCUGCAUCUAGUGAUGAUCGGUUAGAAAUCUUGGCUUUAAAGUUUUCAUAUUCCUUGAUUUUCGGUUCCAUUUGCAUAAACAAAAAGAAAAUAUUUGAAUUAUAAUAUAAAUACAAAUAAAGUUGCAUAAUAAUAAAUUCUAAACCAAUCAGAAAAAUUACACGCCAUUCUGGUCGAGAAUAAUUUUCCUUACACGAUUACAGUCGAUUAAAGUAUCCAGUGCACGACUACAGUUGACUAAAAUAUGCAUUGCCCGACUACAGUCAAGUAAAGUAUAUAUUACACGACUACAGUCGAGUAAAAUAUACAUUACACAACUAAAUUUGAGUAUAGUAAAAUCAUUACACGACUACAAUCGAGUAAAGUAUUCAUUACACCAUUACAGUCGAGUAUAUAAACCAUAAAUAAUUCUUUGCCUCUAUGGAAAAUAAAGUAAUGCAUAAAAAAAAUUAUUCUUUGCCUCUAUAGAAAAUAAAGUAAUGCAUAAAAAAAAUUGUCUUCCUAAUAGAUUUAUUAGAUCAAACGGAAGGAUUAUAGUAAAGAUGAACGAGUAGCCAACAUCAAGGCAAAACAAAAUAGAAAAAAAUAAGUCCCUCGUAAGCAUUAUCAAGAACUCUCCUAUUCAUUUCUUGCCAAAUAACCUAAAUAAAAGCUGCACGAUAUAACUUCACAAAGACUUGGCUUUCUACCGUCCAAGAAAAUGUAAUGAUUAUUCAUAAAAAAAAAAAAAAGGAGGCAUAGGAAGUUGGAAUCACUUGAAAAAACUUCACUGCCUUUUUGUUAAUACAACACCCUUAAACAUGAAGCAAUUGACAAAUGAUCAAUUUUCUCAAUCCUUUCUAUAUACACAACACUCCAUUUAGGCGAAAAAUAAGCACUAGAUGUACUUCUUUGUAAUAUAUCAAAAGUGAAUCCUUCCUUAAGCCACAUAUGAAAAACUUGGAAUCUUACAAGGAAAAAGUGUUCAGCUUCAGCUGCAUUUGUACUGGUAAUUAUAGGAAACAAUUCCUUAUCCUAGGGUUUGAAGCACAUCGGAUUUUGAUCUUCACACGAACGGUUAAAUAUGCAUAGAGUUGUGUAAAUAAAUAUUACAAUGUGAAGGAUUAAAAUUAGUAAAUUAAAAAUUGUUAGCCUAUAUGGCUAUAAAUAUUGAUUUUGAUGAUAUCAAACCACAUAUUUUGGUUAAGGAAAAUUGAGAGUAGUUAAACAAAGAUUUAUAUAUUGUGCUUUUAUAAUAGGAAAAUGAUUUUAUGGAGUUAAGUUUUUUUUCAAGUUAUGAACUAAAAUGAAAGAAUUUUACAAUCUUUGAUUUUAAUAAAUAUUGUUUUGAAUUUUGGAUUUAGAAUUUUUUGAAAAUAUUUAAAUCUUUUGGGCUAUUCUAUAAUUUCACAUAGUUUGGGCAAUAUAAUAAUUUCAGAAAAUUUUGGGAAUAACAAGUAUUAUUUUAGAAAUUCUAAAAUUGAACCUAUUUGCAACUAUUCAUAACGUUUUGGGCUAUAAUGCAGUUAUGAAAGUUUUAGAGUAAAACUGUAAUUUUAGAAACCAUUUCACUGUAGCAAAGCGGCUAACCGGAUGUUAUAAAGCGGCAAUCCAGUUAUGGGCAGAAACUCUCUGGAAAGAAAGAGGCAUACCGGAUGUGCAAAAAUUCAAAUUUUUUAACAUAACGGUAACAUGAAACGGCUAACCGGAUUCACAAAAGCGGCAAGCUAGUUAUCACCAGAAAGUCAAUGACGACUAGUUUUCUUCCUCAACUAUAAAUUGGCUCAAAUCAAAUUCAUUUUAGAUAAGACAACCAUUGAUAUUUUGAGCAAUUUUCUGCAAAUCUAAGAGCAUAAACUUUGUAUUCAUUUCACUUAUUCACACAUAUUGAGCUUUCAUUUGUAUUCAAACACAUUGUGUGAGAGAAAGUUUUGUAAUUCUUUUUGUAAAAUCAAAUUGAGAGGUUGUAAGUGUUAGAAUACACUUAGGAUAAGAGAUUGGGAAUAAUCUUUUGUUGUAAAGGUUCAUUGACACCUUGGAAGUCAAUUGUAAAUGUUUGAAGCCUUGGGAGGCUUGGAUAGUGAAAUCCUUAAGCCCGGUGUGCUUGGAGGCGUGGACGUAGGCGGAGAUUGCCGAAUCACGUAAAAAUCCUCGUGUUUGUUUUUCCCUUCCCUUACCCUUUUAUUUUUUUGAUUUAUUGAAUUUAUUGCUUUCGAUUUCAUUAAGGCAUUAGAUUGAAUUAUUGUGUGAUUUGCUUACUUAUUUUUUAAAUACCCAAUUCACCCCCUUUCUUGGGUUGCAUAACUUGUAGUUCAAAAAAUCCAGUCAAAAAAUUCCAUUGAUGAUUACCUCUUGAAGCAAAGCUAAAACCCACCGUGGGUUUUGCAUAAAAUUGUCAAGUUGAAGUUUAAUUUUUUAACAAGAUAUUCAAAUUAAGGUAACAAAAAAUAGUGCAAUAAAACCAGCAUAUGCUAAAAUCAAUUGUAGAUGUGGUGACUCACCUUUAAUUUGGCCAAUUUCCCUUUAAAAUAGCAGAUUUGGGUGUUAAAACAAACAGCAGCAAGAGUGCGAAAUACCAGCAGUAGAAGCAUCGUCGGUGUUCACUUCAUCUCAAAGCCCACCGGAGUGACUUCACCGGAGUUCUUGGAGAACGCUAGUAGUGAAUGAUAAUGCUGGCUGGUCGUGAAUGAAAUUUGGGGGUUGCAGCUUGGUUGUGAAUGCUUGAGAUGAUUUAGGUUUUCAUUUAGGGUAAUUUCAUAUUUGCACUUUAAAAAGGGCAUAUGUGAGGAAUUUUGGAGUAUGAGGGUAUUUUUAGCUAAAUACCCGAUUUUGGGGGUAUGGCCAGGGCAAAUCCUUGCAGAUCCUUACACUUCAACGGCUCACUAUCAGUAUUGGGAUGACACAGGAUCUUCUUAUCAGGGUUAAAGCUCAAUAAGAGACCUCAGACCCAAAGUAGAAUUUAUAUUGUAAUGGCUGAAACCAGCUUCUAAGAAGAGCUUCUUCCAUUCUUUGAUGCUCUGCUCUUUGGCCACACUGAAUAAAGACAUCAUCAACAUUUCACAGCACAAUUGUGUCUCGGUUGAGUCCUUGUCUAUGCUUUGAUCUUCUAUGACCAUGUCUAUGACAAUCACUUUCCCUCCUUUAUCUUUGCUCCCGGCAAUAGCUUCUUUGCACUUCUUCAAUAUCUGCACGCUCUCUUCAUCACCCCAGUUAUGCAAAACCCACUUCAUACAUAUAUUUUGUCAUAUAAAUUUAAUUAACAAGUUAAAAAUCUUGGAAUUCUGUUAAUAUAUAGAAGGGAUAUUAUCAUUUUACUACCAAAGUUUUACUGACAUAUCAUGUCAGUACCAAGAUUUUCUGAAAAGUGCAUUUUACUACCAAAGUUUUGCGCCGUUAUCAAUUCACUACCAUUCCGUUAACAAUGUUAAAAAUUUACUGAUGUCAUAAGGGCAUCAAAGACAUUUCCAGCUGUAAGAGUAAAAUUGUCUGUUAAUUUGAUAGAUAAAUUAUUAUUUUACUACCAAGUUUUUAGGGGAAUUAUCAUUUUACUACCAAUUUUUAGGAGAAUUAUCAUUUUACUACUGAAUUUUUAGGGAAUUAUCAUUUUACUACCAAACUCUUGGGGGUAAAAUCGACUUUUAACUCAAUUUCCGUUAAACAUUAACUUUUUCUUAACAGAAUGGUAGCGAAUUGAUAACGGCGCAAAACUUUGGUAGUAAAAUGCACUUUUCGGCAAACCUUAGUAUUGACAUGAUAUGUCAAUAAAACUUUGGUAGUAAAAUGAUAAUUUUCCUAUAUAGAAAGACAGUAAUACUAGAUCUACAAACUCUUUGUGCAAACUGAUGUAGUAUAACAAAGUUGAUUUGAUAAAAUAAAAAAAAUAAAAUAAAAAAUAAAAAAUUCCACAUGAUGUAUGUAAUUAAUUUUCAUUAAUAUUUUAUAUUUGAAUGAGUCUAUUUCAACUUGAUUUUUUUAUAAAAUCUUUUACUCAAAAUUUGAGCCAUUGAUCUUAUGCAAUACAAUAAGGGAGGAAUUUUGACAUCAUUAAAUGUUAUUUUGACAUUCAAUUUAUCUAAAAUUAGAUUGUAUAAAAUAAAUAAUUCAAAAUUUUAAGUAGAAAAUUUAAGUUAAAAUAACCCCACUCUAUUUUCUUCGACCAAAAUUGUUAUAUAUGCGACUGCUAUUUGUAGAAUGAGGUUAUGACUCUGUAUAUAUCAGUAUUGAAACAUUAAUAUUUAAGUGGGAGAGAAAAUAGAAAUCCUAUUAUUAAUCAAUUUAAUUACCUUGAGCAGAACUGCAUCUGCUGGAGGUAUUGCUUCAAACAUGUCGCCUCCAAGAAAUUCCAGGUUCUUAUUAGUCCCCUGCUGCUGCUGCAAAUUAUUAUCAACGACAUGUGGGAGAUAAAAAACGAUGCAUUCCAUUUCAGGAAAAGCUUCUGCGAUGGCUUUGGCCAUAGUUCCAGUGCCGCCACCCAGAUCAACCAGACACUUCAGCCCCUUGAAUACCUCCUUACAAUCUUUAAUCAGGACGCUUGAUAUGAACUGAGAGUCAGCCAUCAUGGCAUCAUAAAAGACGUUCUUAAAUUUAGCUUCUUGAGCCAAAGAACCCCAAAUGUCUUUCCCAUGCGUUGACUCAAACACUGUGAGCGUAGAGGGAUCAUCAUUCUUGAACCAAGAGCUCAAGAAAUUGAAGGGAGUCGUUACUAUAGGAUGGGUUAUCAAAAACAUAAAUGGUGCGGCCCUCAAGGGCUCAUCCUUUAGGAGGAGUCGAGAAGCUGGUGUAAGAGAAUAAUACACUUCUGAUUCGUCUUUGUCAAUUUUAUUUUGUUGAGCAAAGAAGCCAGAGUGAACUAGAAUCCGCAUAAGGCGUUGAAUGCAAUGAGCUUUGUUUUUUUUUGGAUAUCGAGUGCUGAAGCUGUCUGUGAAAGAGUCAUGGGCUGGCCAUGUUUGUGAAUAACAUCUGGUAUGCCAAGUUCAACGGCACAUUUUAGUGACAUGGAAUUAAUGUAAUUGAAGGCACAAUUCCACACCUGAGCUUGAGCUUUAAAAAGCUCACAGCUGCUGCUGCUGCUGCUGCUACUCUCUGCAUUAAUCAUAGGAUUCAUAUCCAUUUCAGGCUAUUCAAAGCUUGGCGAACCCUUUAAAGAUUCUUGUCUCUUUAUAUAGCAAUUGAUACUAUGUAGUAUCUAGUGGGAUUAGUUGAGAAGUUUAAUUUGUAGGACAACAUGUAUCUCAAAUGUUUUUAUCCGAGCAGUGAAAUUAAAUCAACCAGAAAUUUACAACAAAAAUAAUUAUAAUAGGUCAAAAGGGGCAUGUAACAAUAGAUCACAAGACAUGCAUAAUCUUUUUUAUUGUACCAUAUUCCCCAAGACUUCAACUAUUUUACUAUAAUGCUUUAAUUCAAAUAAAUUUGGAUUUUGAAAGACCUAAUGACAGUGUAUGCAUGUAUAUCAGCACUGGGUGCCACUCCUGUCUCUCUGUACAAUCUGUCAUUAACAAGAAGCGAGCUUAAAUAUUGUCAACGUAGUAUAUGAAUUAACUGUUGAAAAGUCAACAUGCAUGAUCUUCUAGCUGCAAUAUUAGAAAUAUUGAUGAAGCAUGUGGCUGGAAUCGUGGAAAUUGAAGCUAAAUGAGUUGGUGAAGCAUGUGACAAUUUGACAAUUUCAUAACGACUUUGACAAAUUGGAAAAAUUGACUAAAUUGUAGGUGGGCAGCGAAUGUAUAAUAGUGCAAAACGCUUCCUAUAAAUAGAUGGAAUUUUUUCAUUUGUUGAGCAUCCCAAAAAAUUGAGUGAAUAACAAUUCAUUUGUAGAAUUGUUGAGAGUGAGCAAUUAGAGAGUAUGAGCACUUGAGAGAUUUUUCCUUUCAAGUGUGUGUGAGAGUACUGGGUGUAUUUGGGUUUUAGGAAAUGAGAUUUCUACUCAAAUAUUGUACUCUGAUAAUUGUUAAUAAUAUAAUUAUUUUCUCUUCCUCCCAUGGACGUAGGCAAAAUUACCGAAUCACAUUAAAUUUUGUGUUCUUUAUUUUUUUGUGAUUAUUUAGUGCGCUUGAUUUCACAUUUUACGCACAACAUUAACUCCCUUCUUUAACUUCUUGCCAUUUGAGGAAUUUUCAACUGCAGGCAUUAUAGAUUAGCCCCCUGAUUUACAUUUUUUUAAAAUAAAAAAUUAUAUAAUAUUUUAUAAUUUGAACGACCUUGAUGCUCGAUACUCAAUACCUCGUUUUAUGUAUUAGUUAUUUUUUGCCACCCCCCAUAAGAAUCAACAAAUGUUACUGUGCACCCUAAUCUUUCGGCAACUAUCACCGCACACCCAUUCCGUUAGAAAUUACUGUUAACCUUAACGAUUUUGUCAGACAUCUAUUGAAAUCACCAUAAUGCCCCCAUAUAAAUUGAAUUAACUGCAAGUACUAAAUGGCCCAUACAUUUUUAAGGGAUUAUAAGAAUAUAUUAAUUGGCAGUUGGCACUUUAUUUUCUUCAAAAAAAGAUAAUUAUAGAAUGUGUAAAACAAUGUUAAAUGUAAACCGAAAAUAAUUAAAAUUAAAUUAAAGCUAUUUUUUUAAAGAGAUUAAAUUAAAACUAAAAUUAAUUGGACAUUAUUAGUCCUGGAACCAAAACCCAGAAGACAUCUCCAACUCCAAGCUCCAACCUCAUGGCAGUAUUUAUAGCAAUAACCAAAUUUCUGCUUUGAAAGCACCACAAACAACGACAUAAACUUCCAAUUUCAUAGCACAAUCAAAAUAAUUUAUAUAUCAAACAAACUGUCAACUACCCAAACCUAAAAAUCAAUGAAUAAUAACAUGGAAACCCUAAAAUUUUAGGGUUGGGAUUUUAUAGUUGCUAGUCACCAUUGUUGGUGUUGCAUUAGUUAGCAGCAACCCAUGACUCUUUGAACUGCUAGAAGCCUCUCGGUCUAGCGUCACGCUCCUACUGCUUGUUUCCACCAGGAAAUGGACAUUUGCUGCGGUAGUGCAAUUGGUUAUGUGACCCUUGUGACGUCGAUGCUGGGGAAAAGCGAAAAACCUUGUUGUGGAGCGUGAAUGGAGAAGGGAAGAAAAUGAGCACUUUGUUGCGGAGUGUAAAUAGAGGAGAGAAGAUGGAGCGUGAAUGGAGUCAUGGAGAAGGAAGAGAAAAAAAUAAAAUUUUUCUUUUUUUUCUUUAUCAAUCCCAAUAACUUUACUAUUUUACCCUUAUAACAGUUAAGUUAAUAGUGAUUUCCAACGGAAUGGGUGCGUAGUGAUAAUUGUUAAAAGAUUAGGAUACACGGUAACAUUUGUUGAUUUUUAUUAGGGAUGGCAAAAUCCUCCACGGGUUUGGGGCCCCAUGGAGCCCCACCCCAAAUGGGAAAAAUUUUGAAUAAUUUUUGGGGAAUGGGGUGGGGAGUGGGGGGAAAAUAAUCCCCAAUUUCUUAAUGGGGUGGGGUUUGGUUUUGUACUCCCCACCCCACCCCACCUCAAUCCCCAUUAUAUAUAAAUAUGUUUUUAAUUUUUAUUUUAUCAAUUAUAAUAUCAAUUAAUAAUAUUUUUUUUUAAUUUUUAUGCAAUAUAAACAAGAUAUGAAUGAAAGAAAAUCCUAUAAUAUAUUUCAAUUCUGAAACAUUGUUAUAUUUUCUUUUCUCUUUUAAGGUGCUACGCUCUUUAAAUAUUUUUCAUUUUUAAUAUUAUUUUAAGAUAUUGUUUCAAACUUUUAGAUUUUUUUAAAAAGAAUUUAAAUACUUUAUAAUAUGAUGAUGAAUUUAUUUUAAGUCUCUAAUUUUUAACUUACUAAAAUAAUGUAUUUAUACAUAUUAUAAAAUAGAUAAAUGAGGAAUGAUGUGGGGAUGGGGAAAUCAUUCCCCACAUGGGGAUUCUCCAUCCCCACCUCACUAAAUUUAUUAAGGAAUUGAGGUAAAAAUUUNNNNNNNNNNNNNNNNNNNNNNNNNNNNNNNNNNNNNNNNNNNNNNNNNNNNNNNNNNNNNNNNNNNNNNNNNNNNNNNNNNNNNNNNNNNNNNNNNNNNNNNNNNNNNNNNNNNNNNNNNNNNNNNNNNNNNNNNNNNNNNNNNNNNNNNNNNNNNNNNNNNNNNNNNNNNNNNNNNNNNNNNNNNNNNNNNNNNNNNNNNNNNNNNNNNNNNNNNNNNNNNNNNNNNNNNNNNNNNNNNNNNNNNNNNNNNNNNNNNNNNNNNNNNNNCCCCACCCCAUUGGCCUCCCUAAUUCUUAUGGGGAUGGCAAAAAAUAACCCUAUAUAUUAAAAAAAUUAAAUAUCAAUUUUAUCAGCACAUGGGUCAGCAGAUGGAUACAUUGAACCCAUUAAAAAUGCCCUUUAGAGAUACACGCUAUUUCUCGUGAAUCAUGAGUUCAUGACAUCCAUCACCCAAAUUUAAAAAAUUCUGCUUUUUCUUUAAACACCCCUCUGAAUUUUAAUAAUAACCCUUAUUAUUCUUUUUCCCAUUAAUGAUGAACCGUGUUAUGGAUUGUUGUUUUCGAGAUUAAUCUUAUAUUAAUUCUAUUGAGUUGACGAAACUAUUCAAAUUUGAUCCCGUGCCACGAUAUUUUUCCUCCAAUCUAUUUUAUCAGAAUGUUUACUAAUAUUUAUAUAAGAUAAUUAGUAAAUUUACUCUCUUCAAAUCAUUCUUCUUAUUUUUAAAAAUCUCAAUUUACUCCUUAUUUUUCUUAAGAAAAAAAUAUCAACUCACUCCUUUUUUCUUUAUCUUUUAUAUAAAAAAUAAGAGUAACUUGAGGUUUUCAAAAGUUAGAAGAUGAUUUGAAGAUGAUCAAUUAAGAAGGGAGACAAUUCAAAAUUUAUCUUUUGUAUAAACAUUAUUACUUGAAUGGGUGCAGAAACCGAUCUCAUAAUUCUAACCAAAUAAUUUUUAAGUAAUUUUAUUCUGCUACCCACACAAAUUCAAAUUUUAAGAGAAAUAAAAAAUUAAAUAAAUCUAAUUGAACUUUUAACUUUGUCCAUCCUAUUAAAAAAAUAAAUAAAUAAAAUCGGUCAAGAAGCUUGGCAGCAUCUUCGCUUAAUAAGAAGAAUUUUUUUUUUAAAAAAAAAAAAGGUUACAUCAGCAUAUGGAUCAGCAAAGUUGACCCACUGAGGGCCCUAUCCAAUAUAGAAAAUUUUCUAUUACUUAUGCCCGACGACAUGGCGGAAUGAUUUUCUGAAUAGGUUUCAAAAGUUUUAUUUAGUUAGUUAAUUGAGUUUAAGUCUUGUGAGAUACAGAGUUGAAAAUUGAUUUGGAUUUUGUCCAUUUAUUUACUUUCUAAAACUAAAUAAUAAUUAAUUUGAUAAUUUUAUUAAAUUUUUUUGGGUUAAAAAUACAUAAUUAUAUUUACUCUAAAAAAUUUAGUCAAGUAGUUUUAAGCAGUUUUAUUUAUAUGACGCCCUAGUUUAAAUCUUAAGACUAAAACAUAAAAUUGAUUUUUUUAUAGGUAUUAUUCAAGUCAAACUUCUCAGUAAAUCAAUCUAUUAAUGUCCAAUAAGUAUUUAUUUAAAUUCAAAUUAUUGAUUAUAAUGCAAUGAUUAGGAUAAUGAUUUUUUUUGUGCAUUAAAUAGUUGAUUUAAUAUAAGAAUAUCGUCUUUUAUUAUCAUUGCGAUUGUUUUAAUAAAUCCUGUUCAUAACCUUGCUUGAAAUUUAAACCAUUGAUAAAACUAACAUUUCACUGUAAACGCAUUAGGAAAAAAAACAAUGUAAUUGAAUUGCAAACGGCUAGCUGAAUGGAAUACAUCCGCUACCAAGUCAAGAAUUAAAUCCCUCUCUUUCCCCUAUUUUGGGAAAAUGAUGGAAACUUGGAACACUCUCCAUAGGAGUGAGAUAGGAAACUUGGAAAUUUUUUCACUUUAUGUGUACACGGAGAUCCUUUGGUUCAUUUCUUCUAUUUGAGAGAAUAUCUAAAUUCAAUGACAAUGUAGUGUGUUUUUCUCUGUCAUGAUUUUAACACCCUAGAUGAAAUCGAAUAUUAAAAAUUUUCUAGAGACCUAAUUAUGUACGUAGGACAUUUAGUAUAUAUAACAGGGACCAAAUCGUCAUUCAAAUACGUGCUAAAACAUUUAGUAUAUAAAGUUUACAACAAAAAUCCCUCUCUUUCUUUUUAUUUAUUUCACAAAACUUCCAUUUCUUUAGCACACUCGCAAAUUACAACUUGGGUUCUCAUUUUGCAACUAAUAUUCUAGGUAAGUUACAACCCACUGGAGAACCCAAGUAAAAUAAAGCUUAUUACAACAAUACAUAAACAAGCAUUUGAUAUUCACAUAAAAGAUAUAAUGGUAGGUAAUGUCUAAUUUAAAUUUUAACUCUUA
rnacentral:lncRNA from 1 species